rnacentral:rRNA from 1 species
UAGAGUUUGAAUNCUGGCUCAGGACGAACGCUGGCGGCGUGCCUAAUACAUGCAAGUCGAGCGAACCAAUAAGAAGCUUGCUUUUUGUUGGUUAGCGGCGGACGGGUGAGUAACACGUGGGUAACCUGCCUGUAAGAUCGGGAUAACUCCGGGAAACCGGUGCUAAUACCGGAUAGAUUAUCUUUCCGCCUGGAGAGAUAAGGAAAGAUGGCUUUUGUCAUCACUUACAGAUGGGCCCGCGGCGCAUUAGCUAGUUGGUGAGGUAACGGCUCACCAAGGCGACGAUGCGUAGCCGACCUGAGAGGGUGAUCGGCCACACUGGGACUGAGACACGGCCCAGACUCCUACGGGAGGCAGCACUGACCCAGGAUCAAACCUCNAAA